AUGGUAGAAUUCCAGGUGUAGCGGUGAAAUGCGUAGAGAUCUGGAGGAAUACCGAUGGCGAAGGCAGCCAUCUGGCCUAAUACUGACACUGAGGUGCGAAAGCAUGGGGAGCAAACAGGAUUAGAUACCCUGGUAGUCCAUGCCGUAAACGAUGUCUACUAGCCGUUGGGGCCCUUGAGGCUUUAGUGGCGCAGCUAACGCGAUAAGUAGACCGCCUGGGGAGUACGGUCGCAAGACUAAAACUCAAAUGAAUUGACGGGGGCCCGCACAAGCGGUGGAGCAUGUGGUUUAAUUCGAUGCAACGCGAAGAACCUUACCUGGCCUUGACAUACAGAGAACUUUCCAGAGAUGGAUUGGUGCCUUCGGGAACUCUGAUACAGGUGCUGCAUGGCUGUCGUCAGCUCGUGUCGUGAGAUGUUGGGUUAAGUCCCGCAACGAGCGCAACCCUUUUCCUUAUUUGCCAGCACUUCGGGUGGGAACUUUAAGGAUACUGCCAGUGACAAACUGGAGGAAGGCGGGGACGACGUCAAGUCAUCAUGGCCCUUACGGCCAGGGCUACACACGUGCUACAAUGGUCGGUACAAAGGGUUGCUACUGCGCGAGCAGAUGCUAAUCUCAAAAAGCCGAUCGUAGUCCGGAUCGCAGUCUGCAACUCGACUGCGUGAAGUCGGAAUCGCUAGUAAUCGCGGAUCAGAAUGCCGCGGUGAAUACGUUCCCGGGCCUUGUACACACCGCCCGUCACACCAUGGGAGUUUGUUGCACCAGAAGUAGGUAGUCUAACCUUAGGGAGGACGCUUACCACGGUGUGGCCGAUGACUGG
rnacentral:rRNA from 1 species